UUUCCGCUGCGAGGCUUUCACUUGAUGAGUUGCCUAAAAGAUGUUCCGACACUCAGAGGUGACAAUCACAUUGAGUGGAGGAAGAAAGUUGAACUGGCAUUUGUCUGUGCUGAUCUAGACUGGGUUCUAGAUGAACAACAGCCGGUCAGACCUACAGAGCCAGUAAGAGAGGCCUCUGAUGAUGAUGCUGCGUGGACUAAAAAGAGGGGGGAUUAUGCUCCUUUGGAGAUGUCCUACAUCAUAGAAAACCAAAAGUGGGUCAAUGCAAACAAAAAGUGCAUGGCCUUUAUAAAGAAUACAAUUGAGAGCGCCAUUGUGGGCUCCAUUGCCGCAGGGGAGUUGCUUUCAAAGAUAAAGAGCCAGUUCACUGGCUCUUCAAAGAUAUAUGCCACCCAGGUGUUAGAGCAACUGGUGACAGAACGCUACAUAGGUGGUAGUCAUGGAAUAAGAGAGCACAUCCUCAGGAUGAGCAAUAUGGCAGCAAAGCUCAAGCCCAUGGAUGCGGAUCUGGAG
rnacentral:rRNA from 1 species